CCUUCGAUAGCUCAGUUGGUAGAGCGGAGGACUGUAGAUCCUUAGGUCGCUGGUUCAACUCCGGCUCUAAGGA
rnacentral:tRNA from 2 species